AACUUUUAAUUUGAUUUAAUUUUCAAUCUUUAGUUUUUAUUUCAAAAUUUUAAUUUGAUUUAUAUUUUAAUUUAUAAUUUUCUUUUAAUUUUAUAUUUAACAUUUAAUUUGUUUUAAUAUUUAAUUUGUUAUAAUAUUAUAUAAAUAAUGACAAAUUAAAUGUUAAAUAUAAAGUUAUUUAUAUAAAAAAUAUAAUUAUGUGGGUCUCGACGUAGUCACCUCCUCGUUGGUGAGACCCGGUAAUUGGCAUCGGUUUUCGUUUUAUAUUAUUUGAUCAAAUUAUUAGAAAUAUCACAUUAAAAAUAUUGUAUUAAAACUAUAUUAGAAUGAUUAGUUUUUGAAAACUGAUGCCAAGCUAAGAACUACACUAGUUUUAAGUUUAAGUUUAAUUUGUUAUUGUAUUUUUAACUUGUAAAAUUUUGAUUAUUUUGCAAGAAAUUUCGAAAAUUUAUAAUUCGCGACAUCAUUUAUUAUAAUUGAUUAUAAUCUAAAUUUUGAUAGCGAACAAUUAUAACGUAAUUUUUCCAAAUUAUUCAAAUAAUUUUCCAAAUUUUUCUAAAUAGUUCAUAAACAUUUUUGAAUGUUAAAAAGUACCUUAGAACUCAUAGCAGUAUUUUCUUAAACAAAUGUUUGAAACGAAAAAGAAAAAAAAGGAAAAAUAUCGAAUAUUUUACUUUUUUUUCCACCCUAUCCCUCCCUUAUUAUACAAUUUUAUUUUCAGUAAAUUUUUGUUACCGCGCGCGAUCAGUAGAGUCAGUGUUUGCUUUCGUAAAAGUUUUUUUAAAUUCUUUAACGAAUAACGCGAAAUUAGAAUCAGUGUUUGUUCGCCGAAUUUAAUUUUUAACCGGUCGCGUUAAAAGACUACGCGUUUAGAGUCAGUGCUUCUCUCAAGAAAAUACGGCGGUCAUCCAUCACGCGAAGAGAUAUUUCCUAACAUCCCCCUGCCAAUAUUCUUCGCAUCUAAUGGUGAGUCGCAUGCAUUUAUGUUCCUCCGGUCACUCAAUCAUGUCGUAGGACGAAAGGUCCGAAUCGACACGAGUGAUUGGUUGUAUACGUAGAUUUUUGCAAUGGGCAUAGUGACCACGGAUAUAUUUAUUAUAUCCGUGAGUAGUAACAUUUUCUGUGUUUAUUAGCUCAGGCUAGAUCUUCUUGCACAUCGCGUUUCUCAAAUACUAAUAAACUAAAAAUUUUCUUUUCUUUUUUACAUUUCGCUUUAUAUUAUAAUAUAUUUUAAUUAUUCGAUUUUCAAUUUUCAACAAUCAUAUGAUACAUAAUAUAAAAUUUUAAAUUUUAGUUCCUUCGUAUACGAAAAUGUGCAAGAAGAUAUAUCGCGACAGGUAGAUUUCGGAAUCAAAACAAUAAUAUUGAACAUUGUGUUUCUAAUUUCUAAUUCGAAACUAUGUUUUGAUGAAGGAAUCGCCUGAGGUUAUUAAUGUUAACUUUAAUUUUUCAAUUCAAUUAGUUUAUUUUGCAUUUAGUAUUUCUUGUUGUAAAUAAAUUUCUUAUUUAUUUUUCUUUUGCUUUAUUAUUAUAUAGAUAUUAUAUAGAUAUAACUUUAAUAAAAUUAGAGUCAUUACAUAAAAUUUAAAGUAAAAAUAGAUAAUGAAAUAAAGAAUAUUAGUCCGUUAGAGAAAAAAUAGAUAUUUAUAAUAUUUUUUUAGUUUAGGAUUUUCAGGUUUAACCCCUUCCGUGUCUAUUGCCACGAUCUCACUCACGUGCCCAGGUGUUACUUGGGUGAGAGAGAGGCAAUAGGCAUGAUGACUAUAGUUUAUAAGUUUUUAACGGCGACUGACGAUAAGUUAGUGAUCGUGCACGACGUAUUUUCCACAUUGUGUGUGUUUGCGAUUAGGCUGUGGAAUUGCGUCGUUACGAUUCUCAUUUUUAUUUAUUAUAUUAUCAAUUAUACGAUUUACAAUUUUGUUAAUAUUAUCAUAAAAUUAUAAAUUGUAAAUUGAUACCAAUUAUUAAAUUUUAGUAAUGCCAUUUUUAUUGAUAAUUAAAAUCGAGAUAGAUACGAUUUUUUGUCGCGAUUCACGCAAUGAUCAUUAGCCAUCGUCAGUCGAUUUCAGGAAAAGGUACGUAAAUUUAGAGUGUGAAAGUAGUAUCAAACUCGGGUGUCGGAGGCGUCCCGGGACGUUCUCCCUAGUGUAGGCUUUUUGCACCCGGGUGUAAUGUGUGAGAACCGUGGAGUGGGUGUGUUGGUGUGAUUGUUUUGCCAUUUUUUAAAUAUAGCGCUAGGUAGGAUAGGUAGUAUACUUUCUGGUGUGCAUGUUAAUUAUAAGUAGGUAGGGCCGGGCAGGUUGUCACAGUCUCUGGUCGGGUAGGCGCGUUUUCGCGUGACAACCUGUUUCAGGAAAUACAAUUUGAAAAAUCGAGAGUGGAGCUGAGAUGAGUGAUCAUCGAUGACCACUCGUUUCUGGUUUUACUUAUAUCGAUUUUUCGAAUUUCGCGGUCGCGGUCGCGAAAUGGGCGAAACGAACGUGCGCUCGAGAUUCUGCGCAUGUGCGGACAAUGGUCAGUAAUGACUAUUGGUCGUCCAUGUGCACUCAGCUUUCGCGAUUUAGUCUAUUUUUUUUCUUUUUUUUUUUUGCGAUUAGGAAAUCUCGAGCCUAGACUUAAGUUUCAGCGGGCAUUGCGCCCGAAGGAGGAAGACCGAAGAGGCCUCGACAAACUGUCACGAAGAGGGGCUGCAACGAAUGGUUUCUCAUUUUUUGGAUAUUAUCUGGAUCCAAAGAAUGGGAAGUCAUUGUUACUACUUUGUCACUAUGCUCGUUUUAGAAUCAGUAGUAGUAGUAGUAGUAGUAGUAGUAGUAGUAUUUAUGGCCGAUGAGAAUUCCGGUCCAACGUACAAUCAUCAUGGGCAAAUGGGCAAUCGCGAUUUUUUAAUUAGUGUUGCGACAAAUAAAUUACGGUUUGCAUUAGAGUUGCGAAAUAACGAUCGCGUUUGAUUUAGUGUUGCGUUUAAUGAGACAUCGCGAUUUUUUUUAAUAAUUUUAAUUUUAAUAAUACAAUUUUUUAUAAAAAAUAAUAUUAAAAAAUUUUACGUUUAUUUUAUUCCAAAUUUUAAUUAUAGAGAUAUUAACUUUCAAUUCAUUUGCAUUUGUAUUAAAUUCAUUUUAAGAAUUAGUGUUGCGUUGAAAAGUAAUCGCGUUUUUGAAAAUAGUGUUGCGUUGAAAAAUAAUCGCGUUUUUGAAAGUAGUGUUGCGCUAAAAAAUGAUCGCGUUUUUAAAAGUAGUGUUGCGCUAAAAAAUGCCCAUGAUUCUUCCACUAAUAUUGUGGAAGUGAUCCUGUUUUGGGAUCAUAAAAUGCAGUUGCAAGAGCUGCAAAAAUGUGGUCCUACUUUUGGAUCACAAAGUGGGAAAACGGGCAAUCGCGAUUUUUUAAUUAGUGUUGCGACAAAUAAAUUACGGUUUGCAUUAGUGUUGCGAAUAACAAUCGCGUUUGCUUUAGUGUUGCGUUUUAUGAGACAUCGCGAUUUUUUUUUAAUAAUUUUAAUCAUUAUUAAAUUUAAUAAUAUAAUUUUUUUUAAAUAGUAGUAUUAAAAAAUUUUAUGUUUAUUUUAUUUCGAGUUUUAAUUAGAGAUAUUAACUUUCAAUUCAUUUGCAUUUAUAUUAAAUUCAUUUUAAUAAUUAGUGUUGCGUUGAAAAAUAAUCGCGUUUUUGAAAAUAGUGUUGCGCUAUAAAAUGAUCGCGUUUUUGAAAGUAGUGUUGCGUAUAAAAUGCCCAUAUUCUUCCACUAACAUUGUGGAAAUGAUCCUGUUUUUGGAUCACAAGUGUGGUCCUUAUAGCCUUUUUUGGCUAUAAUUUUUUUUCAGCGCCCCUAAUUAUUACAGCAUUUGUUAAUGAAAAUACUGCUAAAAAAUUUAUUCAUUUGAAUUUUAAACUCUCGUACUAUUACAUAAAAUUGUUUGCAUUAUGCAAUAAGAACAUUAAUUUAUUUAAUAUUAUAAAUUAAUAUUCUUAUUACGAUAUAUUGAUACAAACAGUUGAUAUAUUUGGAACAAAUGACAAAUAAUUAUUCGUUGUCAAAAUUAAAAUUAAAUUUUUUUCUAUUUCUAUUUCCCUAAAAUUAAAUAAAAUUUGUUAGUAUUUUUGCAUUUUUAAUUAUGAAACAAUUGAAUAAAUAUUCGGAAUUCCUGCGUGAAAUAUCAAAAUAAAAUUUUUAAUUUAUUCUAUAUGUAAUUUUUAAGAUAUCUUCGAUUAAAUUUAAACUUAAAUUUAAGAUUUAAAUAAAUUUUAAGUCUUAAAUUUAAGUCUUAGAUUUAAGUUUAAUGUAAGAUAGACAUUUAAAUUAAGUCUUAAAUUUAAGUCUUAGAUUUAAGUUUAAUGUAAGAUAGACAUUUAAAUUAAGUCUUAAAUUUAAGUCUUAGAUUUAAGUUUAAUGUAAGAUAGACAUUUAAAUUAAGUCUUAAAUUUAAGUCUUAGGUUUAAGUUUAAUGUAAAAUAGACAUUUAAAUUAAGUUUAUUGUAAGCACAUUUCGUAAGAUGAUACGCUCCUUAACAUAAAAUCAACUCUAUAUAUACAAAUAUUCAUUCAUAAAUAUUUUCAAUCCCUUUACUUUUUUUCUUUUUCUAUUUCUUUUUUUUUUUUACUUUGUUAAAUAGGAGCGUAUCUUUAGUACGGAUGAUGCCAGUAGAAUAUAUAAAUCAUAGAUUUAAGAUGUAGUAUUAAGAAUAUAGAUUAAGUUAGAUGAACGAUGAUAGAUAAUUUAUUUACCAAUUAUAUCACAUUUCUUUUCUAUGUACAUAAGAUCUGAUUUGUAGAUAAUUAAUUGUAUUAUUUAAUGUACUGGUCACUUUGUUCAAUAAAUUCAACCUGAU